AUGGGUGUUUAUUGGGUUUUUACCAAAGCACCGGGUUUAAACCCGGUGCUUUGCCCAUCUGUAGUAAUAUCUAAUGAGAACUACAAUGUUGCUUAUAAUCUAUUAAUUGCACGCUAUGAAAACAAGAGAGUGAUCGCUGAUAAACAUGUAGAAGCAAUUCUUAACUUACCAACUUUAGCACAGUUAUCUUUAAAAAAUUUAACCAAGUUUGUUUACACUAUAAAGGAAAAUACUCAAGCCCUUAAUGCUCUAAACAUAGAUACAAAAUCAUGGGAUUUUCUUUUACUUCACAUUAUUCUCAGAAAAUUGUCCCUUGAAUUAAGAAGUAAAUUUGAAUCUCAAGUAGAUGCUAGGAGUAUACCAUCAUUUAACAAAUUAAUUACAUUCUUAGAAAAUCAACUAUAUAUUUUAGAAAAUUUAAAUACAUGUACACAUAAGGCUUCUACCAGCAGUUCAUUGACAGUUGUUGAAUCCAAACAGCUUAACAAAAAUAAACCUUAUAUGGUUGUGUGUCCCUGCUGUCAGGAAAAUCAUAGUAUAUACCAUUGUUCCAAAUUUGAUGCAAUGACUCCAGAACAAAGAAAAUCCUUUGUUUAUCAGAAUAAAUUGUGUUUUAAUUGUUUACGGACUCAUCACAUUGCUAAAUGCAUCUCACGUAGUGUAUGUGGAGUAUGUCAUGGCCGUCAUCAUACAAAGCUACACAUCAUGUCUAAUACAGUAAGGCCUAAUCCAACGGAAGAAGUUGCUGUGUCCACAUUAGGCUCCAUCAUGCAACUUCAAUCAAGUAAUGAUGAGCGACAGUUUACUAUGAUAUUGGGUACCGUUUCUGUUUGUGUACGGGAUGUCAAUGGGCAAUAUCAUUCAGCCCGUGCAUUGAUAGACAAUGGUUCCCAAGUUUCUAUUAUAUCUGAAAGUCUUGCUCAGCAGUUAAGGCUACCACGUACACCGUCGAGAUGUGUACUUGGAUUAGGUGCUUCAUCAGCCAAGCAAACUAGAGGUACAAUACAUUGCCAUAUAAAAUCGGUACAUGAUUCCUCCAAAUUCAUUUCUACUGACUGUUUAAUAAUGAAACGUAUAACAGGUAAUCUUCCUUCUGUUGAAGUCAACUCUUGCAUCAUGGAUAAAUGUAGAAAUUUAGUUUUAGCGGACAAAAACUUUUCAGUUCCAGGACAAAUAGAUCUUCUUUUGGGUAUUGACACAUAUAAUCAAAUUCUGGAUGGCAAGCGGUGUAGCCUGGGUGAUGACAUGCCCACUGCACAUUCAUCCUUAUUCGGUUGGGUUAUUAUGGGCAGAGCACCAGCAGCAUCACAGCACUCUUAUAGUGUAAUUUCGAUGGCCUGCACAGGUGAUCCUUUCUUCAAUCUUUCUAGGUUCUGGGAGUCAGAGGAACCUCCCAGCCAGCCUAUACGGGAUCCUGAAGAUAUUCUUUGUGAAAAACAUUUUACUGACACCCACACGAGAGAUGACACAGGUCGUUUCAUUGUACGGUUACCAUUCAAAGUAGAUCACAAGCCUUUGGGAGAAACACACACUACCGCUUUAAAGCGAUUUCAUAAUUUAGAGCGCCGCAUGUUAAAGGAUGACAAAUUGCAUGAAUUAUAUGUAGCCUUUAUGAAAGAUUACAUUGAAGCUGGCCAUAUGCGUGAAGUAUCAACUCCUGUUUCAAGGGAGCGAUAUUACAUUCCGCAUCAUGGCAUACUACGAGAACAUAGUAGCACCACAAAACUUCGUGCUGUAUACGAUGCUUCGGCCUCUAGCUCCACUGGUGUUUCCCUCAAUCAGAUACUUAUGUCUGGCCCCAAACUUCAAAAAAGUAUUGAAGAUAUAAUUUUGCGUUUUAGAAUCCAUAAAGUUGUCUUCACAUGUGACAUAAAACAAAUGUACCGCCAGGUACGUAUGCAUAAUGAAGAUUGUAAAUAUCAAACUAUCUUCUGGCGUGCAUCACCUGAUGAGCCGCUGAAGCAAUAUGAAUUGAUCACAGUAACAUAUGGCGUCACCAGCUCUGCUUUUCAAGCUAUUCGUGUCAUUCAUGAGCUGGCUCACAUAAAUUCCAGCCAGCAUCCUGAGGCUUGUAGAGUGUUGCUAGAGGACACAUUCGUAGACGACGUUGUCAGUGGUUCUCAUAGUUUUGACUCUGCUCAGCACCUGCAACAAGAACUUGUUAACAUUCUAUCUCAAGGCGGCUUUGCUUUACGUAAAUGGUCUAGCAAUUCAAAGGAGUUUUUGGAGUUGUUUGCUUCAGAUCACUGCGAGCCACCUUACCGUUUCGAAGAGCAUGGUGAUAAUGUUUACAAGAUUUUGGGCAUCGAGUGGAACGCAAAAACUGACAGUUUCAUUUAUCGUGUUUCAAAUAUUAGCGACGUCAUGACAAUGCGUGGUGUACUUUCUAAUAUUGCCAGACUUUACGAUCCAUGUGGAUUCCUUGCGCCUGUCACUUUCUAUGCAAAGCACAUCAUGCAACAAUUGUGGGCAAGUCAGUGUGGAUGGGAUGAUCCUCUUCCUCCUGCCAUACAGGAAAGUUGGUCAGAGCUAAUUUCAAAUUUUCAUCAACUCGAUAAAGUAUCGAUACCACGUUGGGUAAUCACUAAUCAACCAUUGGUUUGUCAGCUACACGGUUUUAGUGAUGCGUCUGAACGCGGAUACGCUGCGUGUGUCUAUCUGCGCGUCCAGAAUGCUCAUGGUAUUUCGACUCAACUAUUACUCGCAAAAUCGCGUGUAGCACCUCUUAAACAAAAACUUACCAUUCCAAAAUUGGAAUUAAACGGUGCACUUUUACUUAUACGUCUUACAAAACACGUAUUUGACAUCUUAAAUGUCAAAGUCAAAAUUAGUAGUGUUGUUGCUUGGUGCGAUUCAAGUAUAGUUCUUUCAUGGCUUAAAACUUCUCCUCAUAAACUUCAAACGUAUGAGGGUAAUCGUGUAUCCCAGAUUCAAAAUCUGUUUCCCGAUGUUACAUGGAAGCAUGUACCGUCCAUGAUGAAUCCAGCUGAUCCAGCCAGUCGAGGUCUCAGUCCUGCUGAAUUAGUUGAUCAUCCUUUAUGGUGGUGUCCAAAAUGGCUUGAGCUGGACGACUCAACAUGGCCAGAUAACAUUCCUGACCUAAGUGAAGCGGAAUUACCUGGCAUGAAGUCUUCACCGUUUGAAGUCUAUGUGACUCAGACGGUUGAUGAAUUUCCUGCUCUUACAAAAUUCAGCUCGUUUCCCAAGUUACAGUCUGUGGUAGCUUGGUGUAAGCGCUUUAUUUACAACCUGCGUAACUAUUCUCAACGAAGAACUGGACCUCUUAGCGUAUGCGAGUUGAGUGCAAGCACGCACACUAUUGUCCGGCUAGUUCAGUCUUCGGAGUUUUUGGAAACUUCUAGAAGGUUACGUGAGGACAAACCUCUCAAGGGUUGUCUUUUAAGGCUCAACCUAUUUCUUGAUCAGGACGGCCUUAUUAGAGUUGGUGGAAGACUUAUCAACUCAAAUUUACCCUACAACGCAAAGCACCCGCUUCUACUUCCAAAAACUCACCAUGUAACACGGUUAAUAAUCGAUCAUUAUCAUCGUAUUUUUUUGCAUUCAGGCUUAAAUUCCCUCAUGAAUUUAUUGCAACAAAAUUAUUGGAUUUUAUCAGCGCGUCGAAUAAUCCGCCAACAAAUAUUUCGUUGCCACAGAUGUUAUAGAUCUCGACCUAAGUCCAUUGAACCAUUCAUGGGAGAUUUGCCAUCUCAUCGAGUGACGUCGUGUCGACCUUUUGAAAAAGUAGGAGUCGAUUUCGCAGGUCCUUUUUCCUUAAAGACAUCUCGAAUUCGAAACGCCAAAUCUGUUAAAUCAUAUCUUUGUAUUUUUGUAUGCUUUACGACUAAGUGCGUCCAUCUAGAAAUUGUUUCAGAGUUGUCCACUGAAGCAUUUUUAGCCUGCUUUGAUCGAUUUGUUUCUCGUAGAGGUCUUCCCAGCGACGUUUUUAGUGACUGCGGUACUAAUUUUAUCGGUACUCGAAAUUAUUUAAAGAACGUAACUCAGCACAUUAAAAAUUCACAUGAAGAAAUUCACAAACAUUUAGCACGUCAACAAGUAGUUUGGCAUUUGAAUCCUCCCGCCAGUCCACAUAUGGGCGGUUUGUGGGAAAGCGCCGUGCGCUCUGCCAAGAUUAUUUUAACUCGAGUUAUCGGCGAUCGCUCACUGGUUUUCGAAGAAUUAGCUACCAUUUUUGCCAAGGUUGAAGCUGCAUUAAAUUCGCGUCCUUUAGUCCCUAUAACUAAUGAUUCAAACGAUUUGGAUGUUCUAACACCGGGCCAUUUCCUCAUCGGUAAACCCCUUCAGGCAUUGCCUGAGGAGGAAAUGACAGAAUCUAAUCUUUUAAAACGAUGGCAAUUAGUUCGUCAAAUAACUCAGCAUUUUUGGAAACGUUGGCAAACCGAAUACCUUCACACAUUGCAACAACGACCCAAAUGGCUUGCUAGGCUACCUAAUGUCCAAGUAGGUGAUUUGGUCUUGCUAAAGGAAUCCGCUUUGCCACCGCUUCGAUGGAAGACAGCCCGCGUAACAAGGGUUUAUCCAGGUUCUGACGGCACUGUUAGGGUGGUUGAAUUAAAAACUUCAGCUGGUAGUCUACUUCGUCCAGUAACUAAAAUUUGCCCGUUAUUAUGCCAAGCCUAAUUAAAUCAAUGUUCUUAUACCAUAGAAUCAUAGCUUCUAGUAGUAGUGUAUUUUAGUAGUAAUCAAACUUAUUAUUAUUAUUAUUAUUUUUUUACUUAAGCCAAUGUUUUUAGAAAUCCUUGACUCUCUUAUUCUUAUUUAUUAUCUAAUUUGCUAAAGAGCCUGGUAGCUCUUUGGGGGGCGAUAUGGUAAAUAUAAUCUCAUCAUAUGUAUAUGCUUUAAACAUUUCCGAACGCAACAUGCUUCUACCCUCCUUACCUAUCCAUAUUUCCUAUCAAAUCUGGGAUCACAUCGGGGGGUAGACGGAUAAAUUAAGUCUAUAAUCCAACUGCGUGUCGAGCUGAUCGAGUUCCGCCAAGAUCACAAAAAAGGCUCCACCAGUUGCGAAUUAGUCAAUCAGCCGCGAUCUCCGCGCAACUUACAGUGGUAUUUCAGCGAAAUCAACAUAAGUGUUAGAUAUUUAGAAGAGAGAACGAGAACGCGUACAAAGACCUACACGCGGGGACUACGUGAACCAGAAUAAUUACACUAGUGAGCUUAACAAUUUAUUUUCAAAGAUGGAUGAGAGAAGAAGGAAACGUGACGUACCAGACUAUUUAUGUGGUAAGAUCAGUUUCGAAAUACUA